AUCGCUUCUCAGCCUUUUGGCUAAGAUCAAGCGUAGGUAUCUGUUCUUGCCAGUUUAACAUCUGAUACAUCCUCCCUCUGAGGAUGAAAUAUUAAGUGGAUUUUUGAGCAGGGAGAUGGAAUAGGAGCUUGCUCUGUCCAUGCUGUAAGUACAUUGGUCCAGUAUUGCAGUACCUCCAGAACAGUGCACUCUCA